CAUUUUGGUCCUUGACGCACUAUUGUUUAUUACCAAAAUUACACAUGCAAGCCUCCGCACGCCAGUGAGAAGCCCAAAAGACUCUAAUAGAAUCAAGGAGAAGGCAUCAGGCACGCCACGCGCAGCCAACUACGCCACGCAAAUUGCCACACCCACAAGGGCUCCAGCAGUGAAUAACAUUAAGAUUAUAAGUGAAAACUUGACUUAGUCAUGGUAAGAUAUGGCCGGUCAAUCUCGUGCCAGCCACCGCGGUUAUACGAGAGGCCAAAAACAAAAGCACAUGGCGUAAAGAGUGAUCAAAGUGAAACCAACAUAUUAAGAAGGAACCAAUUCUAAGCAGUGAAACUCAUAAGAAACAAGAACCCCACCAAUCCUUAACAAAAAGAUAGCUUUAAAUCACGAAAGUUAAGAUACAAACUGGGAUUAGAUACCCCAUUAUGCCUAACCCUAAACUUUAACAGCCAAUAAACAUUAAACUGUUCGCCAGGGAACUACAAGCAAAAGCUAGAAACCCAAAGGACUUGGCGGUGCACCACACCAUACUAGAGGAGCCUGUCCCAUAAUCGAUAUUCCACGAUAAACCUCACCACCUUUUGAUAGUUCAGCCUAUAUACCGCCGUCGCCAGCCUACCACAUGAGAGCCAAGCAGUGGGCACAAUAGCACACGCAAAAACGCCAGGUCAAGGUGUAGUUAAUAAGGUGGCGAAGAUGGGCUACAUUUCCAAACUACGAUAGCACGAAAGGCCUACUGAAAGACAGACCAGAAGGUGGAUUUAGCAGUAACAUAGCCAAGACUAGCUAUUUGAAGAGUGCUCUGGAGCACGCACACACCGCCCGUCACCCUCCUCAACGCACCUACUCUUUCAACCUAUAUAGCUAACGCGAUAAGAUGAGGCA
rnacentral:ncRNA from 1 species